rnacentral:rRNA from 1 species
GUGCAGCAGGCGCGAAUCUUCCACAAUGGACGAAAGUCUGAUGGAGCGACGCCGCGUGCGGGAUGAAGGCCUUAUGGGUUGUAAACCGCUGUCAGGGGGGAAGAACAUCGGAAUGAACAAUACUCAUUCCGACUGACGUUACCCCCAGAGGAAGCUCCGGCCAACUCCGUGCCAGCAGCCGCGGUAAUACGGGGGGAGCAAGCGUUUGUCCGGAAUUAUUGGGCGUAAAGGGCGUGUAGGCGGCGAGGUUAAGUCGAAUGUGAAAUCUCACGGCUCAACCGUGAAACUGCGUUCGAAAACUCCCUGCUUGAGUACGGG